GAUCCUUUGUCCUCGAGUACCGUGGGGAGUUUAUAUCGCAAUAUGAAUGGGACAAGAGGCAGGGGAAGUAUACGGAAAAGCAAAAUGCUUUCUUGUUUGAUUUUGAAUGGAACAAUGGCUCAUGGUGCAUAGAUGCAUCCUGCGAAGAUGGUUCACUGGGGAGGCUGGUAAAUGAUGCCCACAGGUCCCCAAAUUGCAAAAUGAAAAAGAUGAUAGUCCAAUGUAAACCUCAUCUUUGCUUGUUUGCUAUUGAAAACAUCCAAGCAGAGAGUGAAAUAACCUAUGAUUAUGGAUAAUCUCAGUGGCCAUGGCGUGCUCUGACACCAAGUGACAAGAUCCCAGCUCAAGCUUCAGCAGACC